rnacentral:lncRNA from 1 species
CAUGAUUUCUAACGCAAGUAAGCAUACUAAUCCUAAGGGCAUGAUUUCUACCCAAUUUCCCUCACAAAAUUUAUAUACGAAUCUCCUUCCCUUUUACUAUUACCCCAAUAUCUAUUUACAAUGAUUAUUAUUACAGACCAUAAAUGAAUUUACAUAAUGAAUAAAUGCUGUACUACAGGGAGCUUGAAAUAGGCCCAAAGUGAAUCCUGAAAUUAUCAAGCCUUCAAACAGUCCUAGAUGCCAUAACCUCAUGAUGUGCAAUAAGGCUACUCUGGUGUGUCAAAGAUCCCAAAGGGCCUCAGGGACCCCAAGAAAUGCUCACACCAAGAUCCUGUUAAAUAGAAGAGUAUUUAUGUGCAGUGUUGAAGGGCCAGCCCCAGUGUGCCAAAGUUUGGAGGAAUCUCGUGGAUUCUUAGGGAGUACACACAUUGGUGGGGCAUAACUUAAAUAAUCUAGGAGUAGAAGUCAGAGUGCUUGACAUAGUUGAUUUUUUUGAAAACAGUAUAGAAGUAAACUCUGAGGACUGAAAAUACUUUAGGAGCAUUAAUAGUUUGGAGAAACUUAUUAAGAGUGAAAGAAAGGUUCAACAAACAACAUCAUAGUCACAAAGCAUCACAUUUUCCCAAUUUCAAUUUUAUUUUGUCAAUCAGGUUUAGAGAUAUAAAUUGAUACACAAAAGGGAGAAGGGGUUGGGAAUACAAGGUACUUGAAAUAGAAGUACAUGAAAAGAAGGGUGGAGGUUGUCAUGUUAGUUAAUAGAGACAUAGGGCAGUCAGGAAUACUGAUUUAAGGUCUGAAACACAAUCAUACUUAAGCAUGCUAUUAAGAAGACAUAAAACAUAAAUAUUGCAGUAAACAUGUUGGCUAGACAAAGUGAGACACGUGUCUAGAUACAGAGUCAAUCUUGCUGAAGAAUACAGGAAGAACUACAAAUAUUCAAUCACACAAGUGGCCAUACUAGUUGAAGCCCAUAAAUAGGAAGGCAAAAGUAGUCAUGCUAAUUGAAAUACAUAAAGGUCAUGGAUUCAACAGAAGUAAAGCAACAAACAAGAAAGCACAAAGGUUUAAGCUUAAUCACAUAAUGAAUGGCAUUAGGAAUGAAAACAUACCAGUUAAAGAAGCAAAUGAAGAAAGUGAAAUGAGCAAGAUUCCACAAGCAAGCAUCACAAGUAGUAGAAAGUGAGAUGAGAGUAAGUUUGUGUGUGUGUUUUUGAACUACUCUUCAUUCGUACUUGAGAGGUGGAACAAAACUAUAUAUAUAGGAGUCGAAUAGUGUAAGUAAAUAAGGCAAGGCAGGUAAAAUAUUGUGAAAUAAAAUAAGAAAGUAAUCAAGUAAUUUACCAAGCUUGAUAGGGGACAAAAAAGUAGGAGUUAUACCCAUAAGUAGCUUUGAUUGAAUUUUAAAUAAGGCAAGAAAUGGGUUUAUCAGUCAAUUAGGGUUAGAACCCUUAAGUCAAGAAAUCAAUUUCACAUAUAAGGCAACACGUGUAAUUAGAGACCAAUCAAGGGUCAAUUAACCCAUAAACAAGCAAGAGACGUAAAAUAAGAACCUCAAGAUUAAGGAAAACAAACACAAAUAAGUAAAUUACUUUUGUAAACAUAUGAUACCUUAAAUAAUUAGGCUAAUCAGUCAAUCAUUCAAACAAUAUCGGACAAAGAAUUUGAAAUCAAAUAAUGCAUAGUCAGAAAAUUAAAUCAGAAACAUAAUUAUGCGAGAAAGAUUAAACAAAACAUAAGGAUCUCAAAAAAACAUUUCCGAAGCCAAAACCCUUAUUUGAAAAAUACAUGAAGUUGAUUAACGGUGGGAAAAUCAGAGGAACCUUAAAGAAAACAACCAUGAAAACUUGAAAUAAUUCAAAUAUGCAGAGAUUCGAGCAAUAAGUAACAAGGAAACAAAAACCCUUUCGUAACACACUGCUAAAAUCAGUAAAAAUUAAAAAAAUAAGAGAAUCUUAAAGAAAAAAUCAGUGAUGAACUUUAAAUCACUUCAGAUCUACAAAGAUCUCGACAAAUUCAAGUCUAAACAUUAGGGUUUCGAAAAAAAGGAAAGGGUAAAGAGAAUUUGGCUUUGAACCAGAGAUUCACACCGUAGAACAUUGAUAGAAAAGCACUCACAGAACAUAGGCAGUCUCCCAGUGAGUCUUGGACAAGAUCUGAACUAGAUUUCUUGGAGACCUUUCUCUGAGAUUGCAAGAAUGAGCAACCAGGAGAUGCAGGAAGAAAGUAGAUGUCUCAAAUAGCCAUGGAAAUUCAUAAAUCAAAUAGGAAUCAAAGGGAUUAGGGCUAGUUUUGGGUGGCGGAGACUAAGGUUAGGAUUAGGUCUCAGAGAGACAGAGAGGAUUAGAGAUUCUAGGGCAUGUGUUU